rnacentral:rRNA from 1 species
UGAGCCCGCGGCCUAUCAGCUAGUUGGUGGGGUAACGGCCCACCAAGGCGAUGACGGGUAGCUGGCCUGAGAGGGUGGUCAGCCACACUGGGACUGAGACACGGCCCAGACUCCUACGGGAGGCAGCAGUUGGGAAUCUUGGGCAAUGGGCGCAAGCCUGACCCAGCGACGCCGCGUGGGGGAUGAAGGCCUUCGGGUUGUAAACCCCUGUCAGGAGGGACGAAGCCCACUCCCUCGGGAGUGGGUGACGGUACCUCCAGAGGAAGCCCCGGCUAACUACGUGCCAGCAGCCGCGGUAAGACGUAGGGGGCGAGCGUUGCCCGGAUUUACUGGGCGUAAAGCGGGUGCAGGCGGCCGGGUAAGUCCCGUGUGAAAGCCCACGGCUCAACCGUGGGACGUCGCGGGAAACUGCCCGGCUUGAGGGCAGCAGAGGGUGGUGGAAUUCCCGGUGUAGCGGUGAAAUGCGUAGAGAUCGGGAGGAACGCCAGUGGCGAAGGCGGCCACCUGGGCUGUCCCUGACGCUCAGACCCGAAAGCUGGGGGAGCGAACGGGAUUAGAUACCCCGGUAGUCCCAGCCCUAAACGAUGCUCACUAGGUGUCGGGGGGCCACUCCCUCGGUGCCGAACUAACGCAUUAAGUGAGCCCCUGGGGAGUACGGCCGCAAGGCUAAAACUCAAACGAAUUGACGGGGACCCGCACAAGCGGUGGAGCAUGUGGUUUAAUUCGAUGCAAA